GAAUAUUGGGCAAUGGGCGCAAGCCUGACCCAGCAACGCCGCGUGAGGGAAGAAGGCCUUCGGGUUGUAAACCUCUGUCCUUAGGGAAGAAGAAAGUGACGGUACCUAAGGUGGAAGAUCCGGCUAACUACGUGCCCGCAGCCGCGGUAAUACGUAGGGAGCGAGCGUUGUCCGGAAUUACUGGGCGUUAAGGGUGCGUAGGCGGCGACGUAAGUCCGAUGUGAAAUCCCCGGGCUUAACUCGGGGGGUGCAUUUGAAACUGCGUGGCUUGAGUGCAGGAGAGGAAAGUGGAAUUCCUAGUGUAGCGGUGGACUGCGUAGAUAUUAGGAGGAACACCAGUGGCGAAGGCGACUUUCUGGACUGUAACUGACGCUGAGGCACGAAAGCGUGGGGAGCAAACA
rnacentral:rRNA from 1 species